GACGAACGCUGGCGGCGUGCUUAACACAUGCAAGUCGAACGGAAAGGCCCUGCUUUCGUGGGGUGCUCGAGUGGCGAACGGGUGUGUAACACGUGUGUAACCUGCCCUUGACUUUGGGAUAACUUGAGGAAACUGGGGCUAAUACCGGAUAGGAGCUCCUGCUGCAUGGUGGGGGUUGGAGAGUUUCGGCGGUUGGGGAUGGACUCGCGGCUUAUCAGCUUGUUGGUGGGGUAGUGGCUUACCAGGGCUUUGACGGGUAGCCGGCCUGAGAGGGUGACCGGCCACAUUGGGACUGAGAUACGGCCCAGACUCCUACGGGAGGCAGCAGUGGGGAAUAUUGCACAAUGGGCGGAAGCCUGAUGCAGCAACGCCGCGUGCGGGAUGACGGCCUUCGGGUUGUAAACCGCUUUCGCCUGUGACGAAGCGUGAGUGACGGUAAUGGGUAAAGAAGCACCGGCUAACUACGUG
rnacentral:rRNA from 1 species